rnacentral:rRNA from 1 species
CUAAGUUUGAUGGCGACCGGCGCACGGGUGAGUAACACGUAUCCAACCUGCCGAUGACUCGGGGAUAGCCUUUCGAAAGAAAGAUUAAUACCCGAUGGCAUAGUUCUUCCGCAUGGUAGAACUAUUAAAGAACUUCGGUCAUCGAUGGGGAUGCGUUCCAUUAGGUUGUUGGCGGGGUAACGGCCCACCAAGCCUUCGAUGGAUAGGGGUUCUGAGAGGAAGGUCCCCCACAUUGGAACUGAGACACGGUCCAAACUCCUACGGGAGGCAGCAUG